GCAGAGGGACAGGCGUUCGCUGGGCUUUACGGUUCAGAGGAAAGUCCGGGCUCCACAGGACACGAUGGUGGGUAACUCCCACCGUCCGCAAGGAUCGGGAAAGUGCAACAGAAAGUAAACCGCCAAUCGGAGGAUCGUUCGCGAUCCUUUAGAGGUAAGGGUGAAACGGUGCGGUAAGAGCGCACCAGCGAUUCGGGCAACCGAGUCGGCUGGGUAAACCCCAUCGGGAGCAAGGCCAAGCAGAAGGGACGGUCGUCUUCGGACGGCCACGAGUCGGUUCGGCUCGUCAUACCUUCGGGUCGGCUGCUAAAGGUGUUGAGUAAUCAACAUUGUAGAGAAAUGAACGCCCUCGACAGAACCCGGCUUAUCGUUCCUCUGCCUGU
rnacentral:RNase_P_RNA from 1 species